rnacentral:SRP_RNA from 1 species
GCUGGGUGUGGUGGUGCACACCUGUAGUCCCAGCUACUCAGGAGGCUGAGGUGGGAGGAUCACUUGAGUCUGGGAGGUCGAGGCUGCAGCAAGCCAGAUUUCGCCACUGCACUCCAGCCUGGGCAACAAAGUGAGACCCUGACUCAA